GUUUGAUGUUCUGCUAGUGCUUUUAGAGCAACUCAGAAGAGAAAGGUUUAUAAUAUUAAUGUGCCUGAAAGCCAAGGGGAGGAGGCUGUUAACCAUUCAACAGUGCAUCCCAGAGUCAAAUGUUAGAUAUAUUCUUGUUUACCUCUCUUAUAGGUGAGAUUAGGGCAAUGAAUGACCCUAAUGAAGACUCUAAUGCUACAAAGAAGAAGGUUCUGAGAGGGGGAUGUUACUGGUCCCCAGGGAUACACAGACAGGACAAUGUGUAAGCAGAUGUCAGAUAAUUAUAACAGGAGAUAUCUUCCAG